rnacentral:sRNA from 1 species
GAUGAGAAGCUUCGACCAAGGUUCGAUUCGAGCGCAGCGAGAAAGCGUUGCCGCAGGCAACGACCCGAAGGGCGAAGCGCGCAGCGCUGAGUCAUC